rnacentral:rRNA from 1 species
GAUGAACGCUGGCGGCGUGCUUAACACAUGCAAGUCGAACGAUGAAGCCCAGCUUGCUGGGUGGAUUAGUGGCGAACGGGUGAGUAACACGUGAGUAACCUGCCCUUAACUCUGGGAUAAGCCUGGGAAACUGGGUCUAAUACCGGAUAGGAGCGUCCACCGCAGGGUGGGUGUUGGAAAGAUUUAUCGGUUUUGGAUGGACUCGCGGCCUAUCAGCUUGUUGGUGAGGUAAUGGCUCACCAAGGCGACGACGGGUAGCCGGCCUGAGAGGGUGACCGGCCACACUGGGACUGAGACACGGCCCAGACUCCUACGGGAGGCAGCAGUGGGGAAUAUUGCACAAUGGGCGCAAGCCUGAUGCAGCGACGCCGCGUGAGUGAUGACGGCCUUCGGGUUGUAAACCUCUUUCAGUAGGGAAGAAGCGAAAGUGACGGUACCUGCAGAAGAAGCACCGGCUAACUACGUG